UUUAUAAAUCAUUAAUUUCCUAGAUUUAAAAUGAAUUUAAAAAUAGUUCAAGUGACACUCAGAACAUAUUGUUGGUACAAGAAUUCUAUAAAGUGCAUCCAACUGAUUGGAUUGCAUGCUCAACAACCAAGAACCCUUUUACAUUUUUGUCUAAUUUACCUUGGCUUCCUUCGCAUUCCCAUCCGAGAUUUUGCAUAUUCUAAUCGCAUGCCUUCACCUGUCGAUGAUGAGUAGAGAAUUGUGCCUUGCAGAUGAUUUAGUGCCCCAGUUGAACAGGAAGUAUCCUGGAAAUCAACAAAUGCAACUGGAGACCCAUAAGUGCUUUGCAUCUUCAAUUUCAAAAACCCAGGACAUCUUGAAAAUACUUGAAUUAGUUCUUGCUCUGUACAAUUUGGUCCCAGAUUAGCCACAAAAAGUGUCGGACAUGGGGGUGAUGAAGAAUUAGUCAAAUUUGCCCCUGUUGACUCACUUACAGCUCGGCCAUCAAAGUUCCCAUGACUUUGUGCAGAUGGAUAACCAAUCGUGUUGUAAGCAGAAUUACCCAUUCCAGGCAAGUGGACGCUGCCAAAACCUGAAUCAAGAGUACCACGUGCUAUUGCAGGAGAAGCUUUAGCUUUCUUAUCCAAGCCAGACCAUUCAUCAUCUGUUCUUGAGCGCUUAGAUCUGGAAUUAGAUUUUGCAAGGUCAAUAUAUAGGGUUGAACCCUUCUCAAGAUCAAAAACCAUCCCAUUCAGUGCAUGCAUAGCUGCAACUGCAGAUGGUUGAUCCGUGAACGUAGCAAAGGCGAAUGGCUGAGAAGUCUGGGUAGGGCUUCGGAGAUGAGAAGACUCGUAACCAGGGAAUUCCCGGAAAAGAUUGUAGAUUUCGCGAGGCUUGACGUCCUCUGGUAGACCCGCCACGAAAAGCGUACGUACCAGAUCGUGAGUGGCAUGCGGGGUAUAGGGAAGGGCGUAGGAGGCAAAAGGCUGAUGUGGCUGUGGCUGAGGGAUAUAUGGAGGAGGUGGCGGCGGCGGUGGAGCAGGAGCAGGCGCCGGCAGAGGUGGUGGUGGGGGUUGGUAGUAGGUGGGGUAGUGACCGGGCGGUGGUGGUGGGUAGUAAGCAGCCAUACUUUCAUCCAUUGAAAGGAAUCCAAGAUUCCGAUUGGGGUUGGUGUUUUAAUCGCAAGUGUUUUAAUCGCAAGUGCGCUGAUGAUUGGGCCGAGGAGCGAGGGCUCGCAAACCCAUCAUAUUUCAUGUCUCCGACUGUGAGCGUUCCUAAAUUCUCCCAUGUUGCGCAUCAUCAUC
rnacentral:misc_RNA from 1 species